CAACCUCCUUUGCCUUCCUGGCCUCACCACAGCCAUCUCUGGUUUCUGCUCACUGAAAGGACCUGAAGAUGAUGAGAUGAUAGGAGCCCAGAAUCAGGAUCUUCACAGGGCAAAGAGAGAAGAUCCUGCAACCAAGAGGAGGACUCCAAACUGGGAAAGAGCAGGAAGCUGUGUCUUACUGUCACUGUAGUCCCAGCACCCGGCAUAGUGCCACACACAUGACAGAUGGGUCCUGAAGUCUCCCAGACCAGUGUUGUCCUGAACUGGAGGAGGCAGUAGAGGAGGAAGAAUUCAGGACUACGGCUGCUGUGUUGAUUGCACUGGAGAUGGGCAGAGCUAGUCAACUGCUAAGGCUUACAGAGAAGGAAAACCAGUGAGCCCCUGAUGAGUACCUAGCGUGAUGCUGGGAGUAUUGAAGUGUUAACCCCCAGACCUCUGCACGCUUCUUCCUGAACAUGAAUCACGGAGGCUGGUCCAAGGCUUCUUCCCUAAGAUCAUGUGUGUUCCAUGGGCAGGAUCCCACCCAGCUUGCCCAGCUCUACAUUCAGCUGUUGGUAGAGGCUCUGGCACUCAGCAUCAACUGAGACAUUGAGACACUUCAGCUCAUCCCACCACAACCAGCCAGCCAUGACCACCAUGGAAGCACGGGUUGAGAGGAAGGAUCAGGGACACUGAGUCAUCAUAUGGAGAGCAGCUGCCCUGGAAAGUUGCUGGACCCACGGUGGACUUUGGAUGAGUGAUAAAUAAAUCUUUGUCUUUAAG